CUGUCAGCUGUGGAAGGGACCUUUGGGAUCAUUCAAUCCAGCCUUACUUUACAGAUGAAGAAAAUGAGACCCAGAGAAGAGAAGGAUUUCUUCAAGGUCACAUGGUGAAUAUGUCACAGCCAGAACUAGAACUCAGGGCCCUUCCCAAACGGCUUGCUGGCCUUCCUGUUACACAUGGACCCCGAAGCCCUGCAGCUCGCAUACUUUCAAGGUAUGCAGACUUUUCAGUGCCGAGGACUGGGAGCCACUGUUGUGAGAAAAACUUGUGGAAGGAAAGGAAAGUUUAAAACUGCCAGCUUCUGGGUCGGCUUCCCCUGGGUCGGGCCAGAGGGACUGUGGCAAGUGCUCAGUGAACAAGGAUCUCUCACUGGAUCGCCGACGGGGCGAAGAGCUCCGAGGGCUGGAGCAGCCUGUUGAUAUUUUAGUUUUCAUCAACUGUGCGAAGCCUUGGAGUUCUUCUGGUUUGAAUGCGUCAGAGUCUGGUCUGGAAAUCUACCCGAGAUUAUUUUUAGCCUACUUGGCCAGAGGACCAGCCGCUCAGUGCAAACGUGGGCUUGGGGCUGGAGCCCGUUCUCACAUGCUGCCUCUAGCAGUGGCCACAGACUCGGGAAGGUCUGCCCGG
rnacentral:lncRNA from 1 species